AGUGUGAACGCAAGUCGUGGGGUC
rnacentral:siRNA from 1 species